GGUUAAGCGACUAAGCGUACACGGUGGAUGCCCUGGCAGUCAGAGGCGAUGAAGGACGUGCUAAUCUGCGAUAAGCGUCGGUAAGGUGAUAUGAACCGUUAUAACCGGCGAUUUCCGAAUGGGGAAACCCAGUGUGUUUCGACACACUAUCAUUAACUGAAUCCAUAGGUUAAUGAGGCGAACCGGGGGAACUGAAACAUCUAAGUACCCCGAGGAAAAGAAAUCAACCGAGAUUCCCCCAGUAGCGGCGAGCGAACGGGGAGCAGCCCAGAGCCUGAAUCAGUGUGUGUGUUAGUGGAAGCGUCUGGAAAGGCGCGCGAUACAGGGUGACAGCCCCGUACACAAAAAUGCACAUAUUGUGAGCUCGAUGAGUAGGGCGGGACACGUGGUAUCCUGUCUGAAUAUGGGGGGACCAUCCUCCAAGGCUAAAUACUCCUGACUGACCGAUAGUGAACCAGUACCGUGAGGGAAAGGCGAAAAGAACCCCGGCGAGGGGAGUGAAAAAGAACCUGAAACCGUGUACGUACAAGCAGUGGGAGCACGCUUAGGCGUGUGACUGCGUACCUUUUGUAUAAUGGGUCAGCGACUUAUAUUCUGUAGCAAGGUUAACCGAAUAGGGGAGCCGAAGGGAAACCGAGUCUUAACUGGGCGUUAAGUUGCAGGGUAUAGACCCGAAACCCGGUGAUCUAGCCAUGGGCAGGUUGAAGGUUGGGUAACACUAACUGGAGGACCGAACCGACUAAUGUUGAAAAAUUAGCGGAUGACUUGUGGCUGGGGGUGAAAGGCCAAUCAAACCGGGAGAUAGCUGGUUCUCCCCGAAAGCUAUUUAGGUAGCGCCUCGUGAAUUCAUCUCCGGGGGUAGAGCACUGUUUCGGCAAGGGGGUCAUCCCGACUUACCAACCCGAUGCAAACUGCGAAUACCGGAGAAUGUUAUCACGGGAGACACACGGCGGGUGCUAACGUCCGUCGUGAAGAGGGAAACAACCCAGACCGCCAGCUAAGGUCCCAAAGUCAUGGUUAAGUGGGAAACGAUGUGGGAAGGCCCAGACAGCCAGGAUGUUGGCUUAGAAGCAGCCAUCAUUUAAAGAAAGCGUAAUAGCUCACUGGUCGAGUCGGCCUGCGCGGAAGAUGUAACGGGGCUAAACCAUGCACCGAAGCUGCGGCAGCGACGCUUAUGCGUUGUUGGGUAGGGGAGCGUUCUGUAAGCCUGUGAAGGUGUGCUGUGAGGCAUGCUGGAGGUAUCAGAAGUGCGAAUGCUGACAUAAGUAACGAUAAAGCGGGUGAAAAGCCCGCUCGCCGGAAGACCAAGGGUUCCUGUCCAACGUUAAUCGGGGCAGGGUGAGUCGACCCCUAAGGCGAGGCCGAAAGGCGUAGUCGAUGGGAAACAGGUUAAUAUUCCUGUACUUGGUGUUACUGCGAAGGGGGGACGGAGAAGGCUAUGUUGGCCGGGCGACGGUUGUCCCGGUUUAAGCGUGUAGGCUGGUUUUCCAGGCAAAUCCGGAAAAUCAAGGCUGAGGCGUGAUGACGAGGCACUACGGUGCUGAAGCAACAAAUGCCCUGCUUCCAGGAAAAGCCUCUAAGCAUCAGGUAACAUCAAAUCGUACCCCAAACCGACACAGGUGGUCAGGUAGAGAAUACCAAGGCGCUUGAGAGAACUCGGGUGAAGGAACUAGGCAAAAUGGUGCCGUAACUUCGGGAGAAGGCACGCUGAUAUGUAGGUGAAGUCCCUCGCGGAUGGAGCUGAAAUCAGUCGAAGAUACCAGCUGGCUGCAACUGUUUAUUAAAAACACAGCACUGUGCAAACACGAAAGUGGACGUAUACGGUGUGACGCCUGCCCGGUGCCGGAAGGUUAAUUGAUGGGGUCAGCGCAAGCGAAGCUCUUGAUCGAAGCCCCGGUAAACGGCGGCCGUAACUAUAACGGUCCUAAGGUAGCGAAAUUCCUUGUCGGGUAAGUUCCGACCUGCACGAAUGGCGUAAUGAUGGCCAGGCUGUCUCCACCCGAGACUCAGUGAAAUUGAACUCGCUGUGAAGAUGCAGUGUACCCGCGGCAAGACGGAAAGACCCCGUGAACCUUUACUAUAGCUUGACACUGAACAUUGAGCCUUGAUGUGUAGGAUAGGUGGGAGGCUUUGAAGUGUGGACGCCAGUCUGCAUGGAGCCGACCUUGAAAUACCACCCUUUAAUGUUUGAUGUUCUAACGUUGACCCGUAAUCCGGGUUGCGGACAGUGUCUGGUGGGUAGUUUGACUGGGGCGGUCUCCUCCUAAAGAGUAACGGAGGAGCACGAAGGUUGGCUAAUCCUGGUCGGACAUCAGGAGGUUAGUGCAAUGGCAUAAGCCAGCUUGACUGCGAGCGUGACGGCGCGAGCAGGUGCGAAAGCAGGUCAUAGUGAUCCGGUGGUUCUGAAUGGAAGGGCCAUCGCUCAACGGAUAAAAGGUACUCCGGGGAUAACAGGCUGAUACCGCCCAAGAGUUCAUAUCGACGGCGGUGUUUGGCACCUCGAUGUCGGCUCAUCACAUCCUGGGGCUGAAGUAGGUCCCAAGGGUAUGGCUGUUCGCCAUUUAAAGUGGUACGCGAGCUGGGUUUAGAACGUCGUGAGACAGUUCGGUCCCUAUCUGCCGUGGGCGCUGGAGAACUGAGGGGGGCUGCUCCUAGUACGAGAGGACCGGAGUGGACGCAUCACUGGUGUUCGGGUUGUCAUGCCAAUGGCACUGCCCGGUAGCUAAAUGCGGAAGAGAUAAGUGCUGAAAGCAUCUAAGCACGAAACUUGCCCCGAGAUGAGUUCUCCCUGACUCCUUGAGAGUCCUGAAGGAACGUUGAAGACGACGACGUUGAUAGGCCGGGUGUGUAAGCGCAGCGAUGCGUUGAGCUAACCGGUACUAAUGAACCGUGAGGCUUAACCUU
rnacentral:rRNA from 1 species